rnacentral:rRNA from 1 species
AUGCUUGAGGCUUCACUCAUAGACAUCUCCCUCCCAUCCGCCUCCUCCUCAUCCGAUCCGUCGCAUCACUGGGAAUAUUGGGACCGCAGUGUCAAUGUACCAGGUGCGCAGGAAUAUCGAUGCCGGGAGGCCGAGAGCCUUCAUACAAAUUCCAGAUACUACUAUGUAGGUGGAGAUGAGAACGCAAUGCAAGACGCAUCCCUAGAAGCUCCUUUUCAGCGGAUGCGGCGGUGA